GCCAUAGCUCAGUGGUGGAGCUCCUGACUAGCAUGCAGAAGAUGCCAGGUUCAAUCCUUGGCAUCUGUCGGUA